rnacentral:lncRNA from 1 species
GCGCCUCCAUCUCUCUUCAUUCUCCUCAUCACCGCCUCUCUCACCCUCUUCAAUCCAUCCUCCUCCGCCGCCGCCUCCGCUACUCCCCCAACCACCUCACCCCAUCACCGCCACCACAACCACCACCUCCAUCACCAUUGCCACCUCCAUCACCAUCACCGCCGCCGCCGUCACCUCCAUCAUCACCUCCGCCUCCGCGAUCAAGAAUCUCAAGACCAUCACGACUUCCGCCGUCGCCUCCAUCCCCACUGCCGCUGUCGCCUCCAUCUCCACUGCCUCCGCCUCCUCCGGCGGCACGAGCGACGGGGCAGCAACUCAACAACAUCAUCGACGCUUUGAUCGGCUCAGGCGACUUCGGGAGCUGGGUCAACAUCAUCACGGCUGCGAAUCCCCUCGCCCUUCCACUGAGCGCCACCGUCUUCGUGCCUCAAAACGACGCCGUGACGCGCGUGCCGGCCGCCGACCCGUUCCUGCUGCCUUACCACGUGGUGCCUCAGCGGCUCACCUUCGCCGACCUCCGCCUCUUCAAGACCAACUCUCGCCUCCCGACUCUCCUUCCCGGAAAGUUCAUCGUCGUCACCAGCAAUUCCGAGUCCAAUUUCACCGUCGACGACUCGACUAUCACCCAGCCCGACGUCUACGUCACCGCCAACGUCGUCGUCCACGGCGUCGCAACCGUUCUUGAUUACUCUGUUUACGGCGUCGCAACCGUCGUCUCUAUGCCGAAGCCAAAGCAGCAGCCGUCGCCAGCGCCGCCGAGUCCAGGGCAGCUUCUUCCCGCCGGCGUCAGCAUCCCGCCGUGGAAAUCCGGUGCGACAACGCCGUGCCUCUGCG